AGCCUUCUGUAUCCGUGCUGAGAUUUCGUCACACACCAGACCACAAGGGCUG
rnacentral:pre_miRNA from 1 species